rnacentral:lncRNA from 1 species
CGAUCUUGGCUCACUGCAACCUUCGCCUCCCAGGUUCAAACGAUUCUCCUGCCUCAGCCUCCCAAGUAGCUGGGAUUAUAGGCAUCUGCCACCAUGCCCAGCUGAUUUUUUGUAUUUUUAGUAGAGAUGGGGUUUCACUAUGUUGGCCAGGCUGGUCUCAAACUCCUGACCUCAUGAUCUACCCCCCUCGGCCUCCCAAACUUUUUGACUUUUAAUGAUAGCCAUUCUGACUGGUGUGAGAUGGUAUCUCAUUGUGGGUUUGAUUUGCAUUUCUCUAAUGAUUAGUAAUGUUCAUUUUUUCAUAAGCUUGUUGGCCAUGUAUAUGACUUCUUUUGAGAAGUGUCUGUUCAUGUCCUUUGCCCAUUUUUAAAAGGGUUUUUGCUUGUUAAUUUGUUUAAGUUCCUUAUAGGUUCUGGUUAUUAGACCUUUGUUGGACACAUAGUUUGCAAAUAUUUUCUCUCAUUCUGUAGGUUGUUUGUUUACUGUGUUGGUAGUUUCUUUUGCUGUGCAGAGGCUCUUUAGUUUAAUUAGGUCCCAUUUGUCAAUUUUUGUUUUUGUUGCAAUUGCUUUUGUUAUCUUUGUCAUGAAAUCUUUGGCAGGGCCUAUGUCUAGAAUGGUAUUCCCUAGGUUUUCUUUUAGGAUUUUGUAGUUUUGGUUUUACAUUUAAGUCUUCAAUCCACCUUGAGUUGAUUUUUGUAUAUGGUGAAAUGAAGAGGUCCGGUUUCAAUCUUCUGCAUAUGGGUAGCCAGUUAUCCCAGCACCAUUUAUUGACUAGGAUGUCUUUUCCCCAUUACUUGUUUCUGUUGACUUUGUUGAAGAUCAGAUGGUUGUAGGUGUGUGGCUUUAUUUCUGGGCUCUCUAUUCUGUUCCAUUGGUCUAUAUGUCUGUUUCUGUACCACACCGUGCUGUUUUUUGUUACUGUAGCUCUCUAGGAAAGUUUGAAGUCAGGUAAUGUAAUGCCUCCAGCUUUGUUCUUUUUGCUUAGGAUUGCUUUGACUAUUUGGGCUCUUUCUUGGAUCCAUAUGAAUUUUAGAAUUGUUUCUUCUAAUUCUUUAAAAAGGUAAUUUGUAGUGUGAUAGGAAUAGCAUUGAAUCUGUAAAUUGAUUUGGGCAGUAUGGCCAUUUUAACAAUAUUGAUUCUUCCUAUCUAUGAGCAUGAAAUGUUUUUUCAUCUGUUUGUGUCAUCUCUAAAUUCUUUGAGCAUUGUUUUGUAAUUCUCAUUGUAGAGAUCUUUCGCCUCACUGGGGUUGAGAAUUACAAAACUCUCCUUGGUUAGGGAGGUGAAAGAUAUUUUACUGAAAGAGAUUUGAAAAUGCCUAGGUAUUUUAUUUUUUUCUGUGUGCGUGGCUAUUACGAAUGGGCUUGCAUUCUUGAUUUGACUCUCAGCUUGGACGUUGUUUGUGUAUAGAAAUGCUACUAAUUUUUGUACAUUGAGUUUUUAUCCUGAAACUUUCUUAAAGUUGUUUGUCUUGAAUCUGUAAGAGCUUUUGGGCAGAGACUAUGAGGUUUUCUACAUAUAAAAUCAUAUUGUCUGAAAACAGAGAUAGUUUGACUUCCUCUCUUCCUAUUUGAAUGCUUUUUAUUUCUUUCUCUUGCCUGAUUGCUCUGGCUAGUACUUCCAGUACCAUAUUGAAUAGGAGUGGUGAGAGUGGUCAUCCUUGUCUUAUUCCAGUUUUCAGUGGGAGAGAGAGGGAGAAUUCAGAGGGAGAGAGAGACAGAGUGGGAGAGAGAGAAUCAUAUUUAAAGUGUACGAUUUAAUAAGUUUUGACACAUAUCCAUUGGCCCCCCCCAAAAUAUCCUCAUGACCCUUGUCAGUCCUUCCUCCUGACACUUCUCACCCCCAUCCCCGGGCAGCCACUGACUUGCUUUUUGUCACUAUAGAAUAGUGAGCAUUUUCUAGAGUAAGUGGAAUCACACCAUAUAUACUAUAUGUACUCCUUUUGUUUGACUUUUUCCACUGAGCAUAAUAAUUUUGAGGUUCACCCAUGUUGUGUGAAUCAGUAGCUCAUAUCUUUUUAUUGAGAAGUCAUAUUCCAUUGUAUAGAUAUGCUACAGUUAGUUUAUCCAUUCACCUGUUGAUAGAUAUUUUGUUUAUUCCCAACUUUUGCCUAUUGCAGAUAAAGCUUUAUGAAUGAUCAGGUAUAAGACAUUUAUGAACACAUGAUUUCUUUUCUCUUAGGAAUAUACCUAGGAGUGGAAUGCCUGAGUCAUAUUAUGGGUGUGUAAGAUUACUUUUUAAGAAACUGGCCAAUUGUUUUCUAAAGUCAUUGCACCACUUUUUUUUUUUUUUUGAGAUGCAGUUUUGCUCUUGUUGCCCAGGCUGGAGUGUACUGGUGUGAUCUCAGCUCACUGCAACCUCCGCCUCCUGGGUUCAAGCAAUUCUCCUGCCUCAGUCUCCUGAGAAACUGGGAUUAUAGGCGCCUGCCACCACACCUGGCUAAUUUUUUUUUUUUGUAUUUUUAGUGGAGACAGCAUUUCGCCAUGUUGGCCAGGCUGGUCUUGAACUCCUGGCCUCAGGUGAUCUGCCUGUCUUGGCCUCCCAAAGUGCUGGGAUUACAGGCGUGAGCCACUGAGCCCGGCCAAUUGCACCAUUUUAUAUACCACCAGUCCCUCCACAUCUUCACCAACACUCAGUGUGUUCAGUGUAUUUAAUUUUAGCCAUUCUAAUAAUCCUUUUUAGUGCUGCAUAAUAUUUCCAUGAUAUGAGUAUACCAAUAUGAGUAUCCCUACUGAUGCACUUUUACCUCUCUUCCUAUGUUUUUGCCUCUAGAAACAAUUCUGCAAAACCAGACUAUACUAACUGGAGCUUUUAUUGCCAUGAGACGGAGUCUUUGGAAUAGGGUUGAUGCAUUAAAGUGUAUAAAUAUUUUAAAAUAAAAUAAAUCCUAUUGAGAGCUUUCUUAAAAGGCUGUAAUAAUUUACAUUUACCAGCAAUGCAUUAAAGCAUCUUUUGCGUUUCUUCCCAACCUCACCACUAUUUUUUUUUUUUUUUUUUUUUUUGAGAUGGAGUUUUGCUCUUGUUGCCCAGGCUGGAGUGCAAUGGCGCGAUCUUGGCUCACUGCAACCUCCGCCUCCCGGAUUCAAGCGAUUCUCCUGCCUCAGCCUCCGGAGUAGCUGGGAUUACAGGCAUGUGCCACCACACCCGGCCUUUUGUAUUUUUAGUCGAGAUGGGGUUUCUCCAUGUUGGUCAGGCUGAUCUCGACCUCCAGACCUCAGCUCACCCCUAAUUUUUGUCAAUAGUAUAUAACUUUUUACAAUGCUUUCAAGUUGUUUUGAUUUUCAUUUCCUUCAUUAUGAAGUGAAUUUUUUUCACAUGUGUAUUGGCCAUUGAUUGUUCAUCUGUGAACAGUCUAAGGAUGUUGCACAUUUUUAUUUUUGUGAGUUUUUUUGGUAACAUAGAUUUUAAAAUUUCAUCUUAAUUUUUUUUUUUUUCAUUAGAGAUGAGGUCUCACUCUGUUACCCAAGCUGGAUUUCAGUGGUGCAAUCAGAUCUCACUGCAGCCUACAACUCCUGGGCUCAAGAGAAAAAUUUAUUUUUUUAUCUUUAAAUUUGUUUAUGGCAUCUUUGCCAUAUUAAACACUUUAAAGCCAUCUUUUCUUUUAUAACUUCUGGCUUCAUGUCUUGGUUAAGAAAGUACAUUCAACUCUUGGCUUGUACAUAUAAUCUCCUGUAUUUUGUCUUAAGAUUUUCAUGUUAUUUUUUUACAGACACAAAUUCAAUCCUUCUUGGAUUUUAUUUUAUUUUUUAUUUUUUUAGAUGGAGUCUUGCUCUGUUGCCAGGCUGGAGUGCAGUGGUGCGAUCUCGGCUCACUACAACCUCCGUCUCCCGGGAUAAAGCGAUUCUCCUGUCUCAGCCUCCCAAGUAGCUGGGACUACAGGCGGGCACCACCACGGUCAGCUAAUUUUUGUGUUUUUAGUAUAGAUGGGGUUUCACCAUGUUGGUCAGGAUGGUCUCGAUCUCUUGACUUCGUGAUCCACCUGUCUCAGCCUCCCAAAGUGUUGGGAUUACAGUGUGAGUCACUGUGCCCGGCCUCUUGGAUUUUUAUGUAGUGUGAGGUAGCAGCCCAGCUUUACUUUCUUCUAAUUGGAAAGCUGUUUUUUCCUCACCACUUAACUAAAUAACCAAUUUUCCUCUGCUUUUUCAUACAUUUAUUCCCAUUAUUAACUAGGAUUCAUUAUGUACUAUGUAUAUUGUCCUACUGAUUUAUUUGUGUGUUUUAUGCCGAUGCCAGACUAACUUAUGUUCAGGCAUUUUUUUUCCGCACAAGGGAGCCUGAAGAAAGCAUAUCUAAUUCCACACACAAAAACAACAGAUUUCAAUUGGAAUUUAAUUAUGUAUAUAUCCAUUUUGGAAGAAUGUAUAUCUUCAUAGUGGUAAGUAUUUUCAUACCAGAACAUGGUCUGUUUUUCUGUUUGUUCAGGUCUUGUUUCAUGUUUUUCAAUAUGGUUGAGCUAUAUUUAUAGUUAAGUAUAUCAUGAAUAUAUAUAUAUAAGAGUAUAUGUACAGCAUAAAGCUCAAUAAAGCCAUACCCAGUUUAAGGAGUAGAGCAUUGCCCUUCGAAGCUUCCCAUCCCACCUCCAUGAGUUCCUCUCCCUGUCGCUAGGGUAUUAUUACUAUCCUCUCUUUUGUGUUAAUCAUUCACUUUCUUUCUUUUUCUUUUUUUUGAGAUAGGGUGUUGCUCCAUUGCCUAGGCUGGAGUGCAGUGGUGCAAUCAUAGCUCACUGCAGCCUUGACCUCCUGGGCUCAAACGAUCCUCCCACUUUGGACUUUUGUGUAGCAAGAUCACCUUGUGCACCACCUCACCUGGCCAAUUUUUUUUUUUUUUUUGUAGAGAUAGGGCCUCACUGUUUUGCCCAGGCUGGUCUCGAACUCCUGUCCUCAGGAAUCCUUCUGCUCUGGCCUCCCAAAGAGUUUGGAUUACAGGCAAAUGCCUCUUAUUGUUUACAUUAUGAAGUCUCAACUUGGAUGGAAGCCCAACUGCAACACGGCCUCCUAAAAUGAGACGCAACUGUUCAACUGAACUGUUCUCAGGACUAAAAGGCUGUGUCAAUAAGAUACGGGGAAUAUUUGUUCUUCUGUGUGUUCCGAUCCUUGUUUUUCUUUCCCUUCGUUGAUCUCUUGUUUCACAACUUCCAACCCAAAUCUGCUCACAGCUACUAACUUGGCUUUUAACAUAUGAAACUUUCUAAAAGUAAAGUUUCAAAUGGGGAAUGAAGAGGCUCAGAAUACACUACCCCAAAACAUGUCACUCAGAACACAUCAUCCCCAAAUAUGCCACUUUGGCAUCAGAAUUAUUUUAAACUAAAGGCACAUAAAAACAGGAGAUGCAAGAAGAUCACUCUGACCUUCACUGUUCUUUAAAAGCCAGAGAUGAAAUUCCCAUGUGAAAGGUGUUCUCCCUAAACCAAGAAGAAAGUAACAUUCUCAUCACAAAGGAUAGGAAGUUGAGGCUGAUAGGAAUCUAUACAAGCAUCCCUUAUGUUCCUAAUUACUUAUUUACCCAGUUAUUUACCCUAGCAUAAGCCCCUUUGCCUUGUUACAUUUUCACAAUUCAGGGCAUAAAUGUUUGACUCUAGCUGCUGCUUUGUGUCUUCAUUUCCUUAUGAAUGCUCUCCUGCCAUUAAAAAACUUGCAUUAAAUAAUUUAUAUACUUUUCUCCUGUUGAUUUGUCUUAUGUCUAUUUAAUUCUCCAGGCCCAGGCAACAAACAAACAAACAAGAAAACAAAACAAAAACAAAAAACCCCCAACAACAACAACAACAAAACCAUAAAAGAGGAGGGGCAAAUUUUUGCCUCCUCUUCUGCAUUUUUCACAUGCUUUAUCCUGUUUUCACUUCUUUACUUUCUGGCACUAUAAGGUGUUCCAGGCUCAUCUUAUAUUUAUUUUCCCUAUCCUAGCCCUGGAAUCAGCCACUUCUACACUUCUUGAAGGAGUCCUGGUUCCUUUCAUCAGGGAACGGCAUUUCGAAAUCAAGAUCUGAGUGCUGGCUGUGCUCAUUGCUACUGGUGUCACUGCUCAUAGUCUCCUCUCUCUCAGUGGGCAGAGCUAGGCUUUGGUACUCAAUGAAAUAAAAGAGGGCACAAACAAAU